rnacentral:rRNA from 1 species
UACGGAGGGGGGCUAGCGUUGUUCGGAAUUACUGGGCGUAAAGCGUACGUAGGCGGCUUUGUAAGUUAGAGGUGAAAGCCCAGAGCUCAACUCUGGAAUUGCCUUUAAGACUGCAUCGCUUUGAAUCUGGAGAGGUUAGUGGAAUUCCGAGUGUAGAGGUGAAAUUCGUAGAUAUUCGGAAGAACACCAGUGGCGAAGGCGACUAACUGGACACGUAUUGACGCUGAGGUACGAAAGCGUGGGGAGCAAACAGG